rnacentral:misc_RNA from 1 species
GUGAACUCAAGUAAAUUGAAUAAGAAUGAAAACUAAUUUCAUUAAACUUCUGGAAUCGAGAAGAUACAGAAAAGUGGUUCUCAAGUUUUCAUCUGCCAAGACAGUUACAAAGAAAACUAACUAUAAAGAAUGUUUCUGUGCAACUAAGAGACAGUUGUAACUCAUUUCCCGCCAGUUUCAUAUGAUGGUUGCUUCUUGGAGAAGAAGUUGCUAUGAGAUGAGGUUGGGUGAGCUGUUGUGUGCCAUGGGUGCUACACACCGUUUCAUUAAAGCACGAAAAAACGCAUUGUUCAAUAACAUAGCUUCUUAUGACUACUUUAUCCUUAGUUGCUUCUGGAUUCUCUGCUUCUGCAAUAUAAAAUAUAAAUUACUUUGUUGCUUUACCAUUUCUGUCAUAUAUCUUAACAAUGAUCGCUUUCGAAUAAUUAGCUUGGAGCAGCCAAUGAAGGGCCGAGCGAACACAAACGCUUUCUGCAACACGAGAGCACUGCACUCCAUCAAAAACACCAGACAAAGCUUGGAUCUUUAGUUCAGAUCCUAGCAUAAAUGGCAAUAUGUGGUACAUUUAGUUCUUGAUUACACAGCAUUUAUACGUCUAUGACAAAGACUUAUGAUUACAGGCAAACAUCCUUAGAUAAUUAUACUAUAUAUCCAAGAAAGCUGUGCGACAUACAUGUUUAGGAACCUAGAACUCUAUGACUAAAGGAUAAUGGGAAAAAAAGAAAAAGAAAAAGAAGGAAACAAUUAACACAGCGAGACUUGCUUUCAGGGUUUCAAAGCAUCCUUUGUAGUUCAGCUAUACUAAUUACAGCUCUUACAUAUAGCCAGCUCCUGUAAAGCAAUAAACUGCAACAAACUCCCCAAAAUCCUGUAGCAAACCCUAUUCCCAUGCUUAUGAAAAAUCCUGAGGUUAUAAUCUCAUCCUUGCCUACUUGCUUGUCAGCGUUUUCGCUGCCUCCAUUAAUGGGUGGACUCGCAGCUUGUUCUCCAGGGCACCUAUUUGGAAGUGGUUCACCACAAAGUCCUGCAUUUCCUUUGAAUGAAGUGUUAUCAAAGCUCUGUAGUUGAGUGCUCCUUGGAAUUUGGCCAGAGAAGUUGUUAUAUGACAAGUUUAGAUAACUAAGAAAAUUCAAGUCACGAAGGCCCUCAGGAAGCCUACCAGAAAGAUGAUUUGCAGACAGGUCAAGUGAUUCUAAUAAGUUCAAGUGGCCGAUGCUGUGAGGAAUGACUCCAGUCAAUUGGUUAUUUGAUAAGUUUAGCGAAACCAAGCCUACAAGGCGUGUAAUUUCACCAGGGAUUUUUCCACUGAAGUUAUUGCUUGAAAAAUCAAUGCAUUUGACAAGGCCAAGAGUAUUUCCAUACUCACGUUCUGUUCCUUUCCAUAAAAUCAUCACAAUGUUCACAUAUGGCACAACAUUAUACCAUCCAUUUGUGGUCCAAGGAUCUGGAAGGUAAGAAUAUGAAUUAUGGAAGAUUUCAACUGUACCACUAUUGCUUGCCAUGGCAGUGAAGUUACUCAGGCACUGCGGUAUUCCUCCUGAUAUGCUAUUAUUGGAGAGGUCCAAUAUUUGCAUAGAAGUUAGAUGGCAUAGCUGCAAAGGUAUACUUCCAUAUAUCCGAUUUGAUCUUAGACGUAGAACAAUCAGACUUGGAAGAUUUUCCCCUAUCCAUGCUGGUAUUGUACCAAACAAUCUAUUCUCCUCCACAUCUAGAAGUUUAAGACCAGUACAAUUACUUAGGGAUGGUGGCAAUUCUCUAGAGAAACAGUUGUUUCUUAAUUGCAAUGCUUCGAUUGGAAGAAGCGCAAGUGAGGCAGGGAUACUCCCAGAAAAGUUAUUAUUUGCCAAAUUAAGGAUGCCCAAGUUUUUCCAAUUUGUCCAACAAUGAGGAAGUUCUCCUGAGAAAGAGAGUUGUCAGAAAUGUCAAGAUAGUUCAAAUACUCCACUGAUAUUGAACAUAAAUUGGAUGUAUUUCCAGAAAACCUAUUUCUGGAGAGAUUCAAUACCGUUAUAUUAGGUGGAAGCGGUGGUAUUGAGCCAUGAAAGCAGUUGGAACUCAUGUCUAUUGCAGACAAAUUAUCAACUAUGAAUGGCAAUUUCUUCUCUUCGCCACUGAUUAGAUUUCCAGAGAGAUUCAAGUACAUCAAAAUACGUGGAAGUUCCCAAAAACAAUCACUGAUGCCAUCUGAAAUUCCGGAAUUAGAGAUAUCAAGGUGAAUGAUUCUCUUUUGUGUCUGUAGCCAUUGUGGAAAAUGAGGCUCUAGCUGUUUGCAAGAGCUCAUUAUUAAGAUGUCAAGCUGAAAAGGAGGAACCCAAUAUGAGCUCAAGUUCAAAGUAAAUGAAUUUAAAGAAAUAUCCAAAUGCCUUAAUUUGGAGAGGGUCAAAAAGUGGAUAUCUGAGAUAACACCAUUCAUGGAAUUUGAGGAGAUAUCCAUAACUUCAAGAUUGGAAAGUAGGCCUGUACUUUCUGUCAAACUCCCAUUUAGUUUGUUCAUUGGAAGACGCAGCUCUUUGAUGAAUGAAAAAUUACUCAGAUUGGGCACCUCUCCUGUUAGAUUGUUCCAAGAUAAAUCCAGUGCUUCCAAACUAAAAGGAUUUCCCAAGGAAAUUGGUAUCCUACCCUCAAGGUGAUUAAAGGCAAGAUUAAGAUGUUGAAGAGCAAUCACAUUUCCAAAAGUAUCUGGAAUUUGGCCUUGUAACUGGUUUAAUUCAAGUUUUAGAGAAAGGAGGCUAUUGUUGAAGUUCAACAACCAAGGGAAGAUUGAAGACGAAAACUAGUUGAAACUAAAAUCAAUUAUUGCAAGAGACUUGGAGGAAUUGGCAAGAGAUAGAGGUGGAGGAAUCACCAGAGAGAGCCCACAUGCACUCAAAUGCAAGUUGAGCAGAGAAUGGAGCAUAUUAAUUGCUCGCAACCAAUCUGUUGUCUGACUGAGAUUUGUGUGUCUCAUAUCAAGAUGCUUCAAAGCGGGAAGAUGAGAAAGGAACAUAAGACUUUCAACUUUGUCAAAAUUAUUGUAGCUGAGAUCAAGAGAAACCAACCUUGUGAGAUUUCCAAGCUGAUAAGGAAUGGUUCCGAUAAAAUUGCACCCAGAAAAGUUGAGAUAUCUCAAGUUUGUCAAUGAACCAAUGAACUUGGGGAUGGAGGUUUCACUUCCCUCGAACAGACUCAGGUCCAAGUAUGUCAAAUAUUGCAGCUCAAGCAAUGAAGAUCCUAUUUCCCCUUUGAAAGGCAUGUAAGAAAAUGAUACCCCAUUAGGAUUAUAAACGAUUGUAGGGCGGAGGUCAAGCCCAUAAACAUGGCCAGAAUUUUUGUUGCACUUAACUCCUCUCCAUUUACAGCAAUCUUCUUCUUGGUUCCCCCAUGAGCAGAGCUGAUUAUCCUUAUCCACAAGGCCAUCUUUGAACUUGAGAAGAGCUUGUUUCUCCUUCUCCACGCACAUGACUUUGAACUUUUUCACAGCAUUAGAACUUGUGUUGUGUCCAACUGCACUGCUCAUGCACAGAAACCCAAAAACAAAGACAAUUAUAAGUCGGUGAUAUGUGCCUUCCAUGAUUAUGAAGAUAGUUUGAAACAAAGAGAGAGAUCAAAUAAAUUGUAUCAUAUAGAUAUGCCAAGCAAUAUGCAGUUGGAUAGGUUAUCCCUACUAUUUUGUC